GGAGGAAUAUUGGUCAAUGGGCGAGAGCCUGAACCAGCCAAGUAGCGUGCAGGACGACGGCCCUAUGGGUUGUAAACUGCUUUUAUAAGGGAAUAAAGUGAGUCUCGUGAGACUUUUUGCAUGUACCUUAUGAAUAAGGACCGGCUAAUUCCGUGCCAGCAGCCGCGGUAAUACGGAAGGUCCGAGCGUUAUCCGGAUUCAUUGGGUUUAAAGGGUGCGUAGGCGGCUUUGCAAGUCAGCGGUGAAAGGCCCGGGCUCAACCCGGAAAGUGCCGUUGAUACUGUGAGGCUGGAAUGCGGAUGCUGUGGGAGGAAUGAGUGGUGUAGCGGUGAAAUGCAUAGAUAUCACUCAGAACACCGAUUGCGAAGGCAUCUCACAAAUCCGCAAUUG
rnacentral:rRNA from 1 species